UUCAAAGACGAGCUCUGGAAU
rnacentral:miRNA from 1 species